GAAAUAAUUUACAUUUAAACUUCUAAUUUAAAUCUUUAGUGAUUAAAUUCAUUUAUAUUUCU
rnacentral:tRNA from 1 species